UGGUCAUUUAGAGGAAGUAAAAGUCGUAACAAGGUUUCCGUAGGUGAACCUGCGGAAGGAUCAUUACCUAGAGUUUGUAGACUUCGGUCUGCUACCUCUUACCCAUGUCUUUUGAGUACCUUCGUUUCCUCGGCGGGUCCGCCCGCCGAUUGGACAACAUUCAAACCCUUUGCAGUUGCAAUCAGCGUCUGAAAAAACAUAAUAGUUACAACUUUCAACAACGGAUCUCUUGGUUCUGGCAUCGAUGAAGAACGCAGCGAAAUGCGAUAAGUAGUGUGAAUUGCAGAAUUCAGUGAAUCAUCGAAUCUUUGAACGCACAUUGCGCCCCUUGGUAUUCCAUGGGGCAUGCCUGUUCGAGCGUCAUUUGUACCUUCAAGCUCUGCUUGGUGUUGGGUGUUUUGUCUCGCCUCUGCGUGUAGACUCGCCUUAAAACAAUUGGCAGCCGGCGUAUUGAUUUCGGAGCGCAGUACAUCUCGCGCUUUGCACUCAUAACGGCGACGUCCAAAAGUACAUUUUUACACUCUUGACCUCGGAUCAGGUAGGGAUACCCGCUGAACUUAAGCAUAUCAAUAAGCGGAGGA
rnacentral:rRNA from 1 species